rnacentral:rRNA from 1 species
GACGAACGCUGGCGGCGUGGAUUAGGCAUGCAAGUCGAACGGUAGGAUACCUUCGGGUAUCUGAGAGUGGCGAACGGGUGGGUAACACGUAGGUGAUCUACCCUCAAGAUUGGGACAACCCAGGGAAACUUGGGCUAAUACCGGAUGAAAGCAGCAGUGAUGUUGUUUGAAAGGUGGCGUAAGCUGCCGUUUGGGGAUGAGCCUGCGCUCUAUUAGUUAGUUGGCGGGGUAAAGGCCCACCAAGGCGAUGAUAGAUAGGCGGCCUUAACGGGUGGUCGCCCACACUGGGAUUGAGAUACGGCCCAGACUCCUACGGGAGGCAGCAGUCGAGAAUAGUCUACAAUGGCCGAAAGGCUGAUAGUGCGACGCCGCGUGAACGAAGAAGCCCUUCGGGUGUAAAGUUCUUUUAUAUGUGAGCAGUGCUUUCUAUGUGAACAGCAUGGGGAGAGAGAUAUUAGCAUAUGAAUAAGCAACGGCUAACUCCGUGCCAGCAGCCG